CCCAGACUCCUACGGGAGGCAGCAGUGGGGAAUAUUGGACAAUGGGCGAAAGCCUGAUCCAGCAACGCCGCGUGAGGGAUGACGGCCUUCGGGUUGUAAACCUCUUUCAGCAGGGAGCGAAGCGCAAGUGACGGUACCUGCAGAAGAAGCACCGGCCAACUACGUGCCAGCAGCCGCGGUAAUACGUAGGGUGCGAGCGUUGUCCGGAAUUAUUGGGCGUAAAGGGCUCGUAGGCGGUUUGUCGCGUCGGGAGUGAAAACUCAGGGCUUAACCCUGAGCCUGCUUCCGAUACGGGCAGACUAGAGGUAUGCAGGGGAGAACGGAAUUCCUGGUGUAGCGGUGAAAUGCGCAGAUAUCAGGAGGAACACCGGUGGCGAAGGCGGUUCUCUGGGCAUUACCUGACGCUGAGGAGCGAAAGUGUGGGGAGCGAACAGGAUUAUAUACCCUGGGUAGUCCACACCGUAAACGUUGGGCGCUAGGUGUGGGACUCAUUCCACGAGUUCCGUGCCCGCAACUAACGCAUUUAAGCGCCCCGCCUGGGGAGUACGGCCGCAAAGGCUAAAACUCAAAGGAAUUAACGGGGGCCCGCACAAGCGG
rnacentral:rRNA from 1 species